UCUCACUCAGAUAGGGACACUGAGGUC
rnacentral:piRNA from 1 species